AUGAUGAGGAUGGCGGACACAAGGAACAAGUUUACACAGCCGGAUGAAGACACCCCAUUUGGACGACACUUGAAGGAAGUCACUAGGUACCUGAACAUUGGAAUACCAAGCUUCACCGGGACCUACACCACCACACUACCAGAAGAGGAACGUUGGAUGAUUCGAGUUCAAGUUCCAGGAAGGAGAUUCACGCCAGUCAUUGAACCCAUAGAGUUUUCCUUUGAUGCACCCACCUGGAGUCUAGGCAAGAGCAUGGCAGCCCAUAUCACCAUAGGACGCAUCGGCGAAGUUUAUCACAAGGAGCUUAAGGACACUAUCUACCAGAUAUGUGGGCGCCGAGAUGAGCAAUGGGAGAUGAUAAGCAGUAGGAAGGACAGGUCCAUUGCAGCAUUCAUCCAGGAGUUAGACCAUCACAUACGUCGCCAGGAGAACCAGAUGUGCGCAAGCAUGAUAAAUUUGAAGAAGGCGAUGACCAUAAUCACAGAGCUAGAAGAGGAUCUUAAGUCUACACCCGAUGGAUACAAGGAGGAAAUGACGAUACUUGUGGAGAUGAAUGACGACCUAACAAGGAAGCUAGGAGUUUUCAUGGGAGACCCUGCGCCAGGAGGAGAAGACGACGAACCCAAGGAGAUUCGUUCUGAAUACUACAUCACCAUCGAUGACACUGACUCCGACCCCGAUGGUAGUGAUGAUGACUAUGAAGACGAAGAUGGAACGGACAUCCUGGAGCCUUCCAUCGAUAAAAAUUUCUAG
rnacentral:rRNA from 1 species